rnacentral:rRNA from 1 species
UACAGAGGUCCCAAGCGUUAGGCGGAAUCACUGGGCUUAAAGGGUGCGUAGGCGGGUCUUUAAGUCAGGGGGGAAAUCCUGGAGCUCAACUCCAGAACUGCCUUUGAUACUGGGGAUCUUGAGUUCGGGAGAGGUGAGUGGAACUGCGAGUGUAGAGGUGAAAUUCGUAGAUAUUCGCAAGAACACCAGUGGCGAAGGCGGCUCACUGGCCCGAUACUGACGCUGAGGCACGAAAGCGUGGGGAGCAAACAGG